CUCACGAUGCUUGAAAUUUUCAUCAUCUUCUUCUUUGUCCCGAAGUUUAGCAGAUUCGCCGCUGGUUUUCUUCGGGUGGUAGGAUUUUUGGUUUUGAUUUGUGUUGGCUUUGUACAAAUCAAUUAGAUUUGAGAUAGACUCGAUCAAUAGCUCGAGAGUGUAUAUUUGAUUGACCUCCAUUUGAGGCUUUUUGUUGAUUUCCUGCUCUGAUACCAUCUUAACGAUGAUAAUCGAGAGAGGUGAUACUCAUAUUGACGAAAGAAAGAUAUAGGAUGUUUGAGAGUAGAAGAUGUAAUGUAUUGCUUUUUAAUUUGAAUAAUGUACAGCCUCUACGUUAUAUAGGAUAGAAUCAUUCCUAUCUAUGGUAAAGCUGUAAAUGUAAUCAAUCUAUUUUUGGAUAGAAUCCAAUUGAAUCAAUCCUAGCAAUCAAAUAAUUAUUCUCCUCAAUCUUCUCUCUUGGUGUGAAUAUUCUAUGGGAUCCAUUUUGACACUUUGAUACUGUUUCAUUAUGUGGAAUUAAAUUUCAACUUUUCCCCUAAUUACUUAUUAACCGCUCUUUCCGCUCAAUCAAUACACAGCUUUAACCUUCCUGCUGUUUGAAGGAGUGGCUGAGCCUUCUCCGACCACGGGUUCCUUUUUCAAGCCUCAGUUGAUGCAAGCAUAUGUUGAAAAUGCAGCAAUUCUAUUUGAGAAAAAAUCCACCAGUGAUAAUGUUGUAGAUGAAAGAACAUCCAGUGGUUACGAGUUUAGGUUUCGUACUGGAGUUAGUUCCACAUCAGGAUUAUCUUCUGCAGGAAUUUCGGUAAUGCACCAAAACUUUCCUUUAAGUCUUAAGAUAACUCUUAUUUUUGGUGUAGUUUUCAAAAUAAGCCGCAUGUGCUCAAACAAUUGAAUGGGUUGCAAAAUGAUUUUAAAUUAUGUUUCGUAAGUGCAUGUUGAACUUA